GAUGAAGAACGCAGUGAAAUGCGAUAAGUAAUGUGAAUUGCAGAAUUCAGUGAAUCAUCGAAUCUUUGAACGCACAUUGCGCCCGCCAGUAUUCUGGCGGGCAUGCCUGUUCGAGCGUCAUUACAACCCUCAGGCCCCCGGGCCUGGCGUUGGGGAUCGGCGGAGCCCCCCGUGGGCACACGCCGUCCCCCAAAUGCAGUGGCGGUCCCGCCGCAGCUUCCAUCGCGUAGUAGCUAACACCUCGCGACUGGAGAGCGGCGCGGCCACGCCGUAAAACACCCAACUCUUCUGAAGUUGACCUCGAAUCAGGUAGGAAUACCCGCUGAACUUAAGCAUAUCAAUAAGCGAGGA
rnacentral:misc_RNA from 1 species